AAGCACAGCCGUAGUCUGAGGAAUGGGGAGGGGCCUUCCCAGCAGUGUCCAAAAAAGAGGGGACCCUGCUACCCAUCCUGUACCCCAGAGACUGUGACCCACCCAGUGUUGGGAGAAUCCCUGUGCAUGGGGGCUGAAGAAGCUGCUUCCUCCAUGCAGUCCACCAGCAAUAGGGAUGGAAGAUUGCCGUGGGCCGAAUCCAUAGCUGCCCCACCAGGUGAGAAGCCCGAGACCCAGGGAAGGUGAAGACUGUGACUGAAGUCCCAUGGACAGUACAUGUGACUCUGAAGUUCCACUUUUCUGUUUUCCACCGUGGAGGCCUGGGGCAGGGGGCGGCGAAGACAGGGGCAUACCAGCCGCCACUCCUCUGUUCUGUUUCUGCUGCCGAGUCCUGACCCUGGUGCCCCUCUGCCCACCAUUUGCAGAAAGACAUAAGCACAGACACCUUCACUUCGUGUUGGAAGCCAGGCCUGCCUGGGAUCACUGCAUUCACCUUUCUCCCUUCCCUUGGCUUCUCUUUCCUCCUUCCUACCUGCCUGGCUAGCUGACUUGUAAGUAAGAUAUAAAAUACAAUAAAAUACCUGGAGCA